rnacentral:snRNA from 1 species
GCAUAUCACCCUCAGACAGAUGGU